AGUGAACGCUGGCGGUAGGCCUAACACAUGCAAGUCGAACGGCAGCACAGUAAGAGCUUGCUCUUACGGGUGGCGAGUAGCGGACGGGUGAGGAAUACAUCGGAAUCUACUUUUUCGUGGGGGAUAACGUAGGGAAACUUACGCUACUACCGCAUACGACCUACGGGUGAAAGCCGGGGAUCUUCGGACCUUGCGCGAUUGAAUGAGCCGAUGUCGGAUUAGCUAGUUGGCGGGGUAAAGGCCCACCAAGGCGACGAUCCGUAGCUGGUCUGAGAGGAUGAUCAGCCACACUGGAACUGAGACACGGUCCAGACUCCUACGGGAGGCAGCAGUGGGGAAUAUUGGACAAUGGGCGCAAGCCUGAUCCAGCCAUACCGCGUGGGUGAAGAAGGCCUUCGGGUUGUAAAGCCCUUUUGUUGGGAAAGAAAAGCAGCAGGUUAAUACCCCGCUGUUCUGACGGUACCCAAAGAAUAAGCACCGGCUAACUUCGUG
rnacentral:rRNA from 1 species